rnacentral:rRNA from 1 species
CCUACGGGAGGCAGCAGUGGGGGAUAUUGCACAAUGGGGGGAACCCUGAUGCAGCGACGCCGCGUGGGUGAAGAAGCGCCUCGGCGCGUAAAGCCCUGUCAGCAGGGAAGAAAAUGACGGUACCUGAAGAAGAAGCCCCGGCUAACUACGUGCCAGCAGCCGCGGGAAUACGUAGGGGGCAAGCGUUAUCCGGAUUUACUGGGUGGAAAGGGGGCGCAGACGGCGAUGCAAGCCAGGAGUGAAAGCCCGGGGCCCAACCCCGGGACUGCUCUUGGAACUGGGUGGCUGGAGUGCAGGAGGGGCAGGCGGAAUUCCUGGUGUAGCGGUGAAAUGCGUAGAUAUCAGGAGGAACACCGGUGGCGAAGGCAGCCUGCUGGACUGCAACUGACGUUGAGGCCCGAAAGCGUGGGGAGUAAACAGGAUUAGAUACCCCUGUAGUC